UGAGGUAGUAGUUUGUACAGUC
rnacentral:ncRNA from 2 species